UGAGCACACUUAUGUGGUCUUCAAUAAGUGCUUGAUGAAUUCGGUCAAAUGAAAGACAUCAUUAAAGGAACAUAACCUAUUGAAGCUUGCAAUUUAUGGCAGAGUGAAAAUUAUGUGGCACUGAAUUUUAUCUUUUAAAGCACUCCACCCUGUUGUGACACACAUUUUACAGGCCAAAUCAAAGUAUGUAGCCAUAACCAACUUUAGGGAGAAGUGAAAGUGUGAUCCUACUAUAUGCCUACUAUGUGCCUGGAAGGAGUCUGAAUUGGUAAAAAUUUGGUUACUUUUGGUGUUCCUUCCAUCAGAUCCUACUAAGGAGAAAUAACCUGAAAUGCAACUCUACUAAGGUAUA